ensembl:lncRNA
UCAAGCCCUCAAGAGUGGCACAACUUUUAGGACUAAAGUCACAAACCAUUUCGACUUUGAAGCCAGGACAAUUAAUCUUCUCUAGACCUGGUCUCUGGAAUGAAGGAGAGAGAGAGUCAUUAGGAUUGCAUUGUGAAAGAGAAAGGCUCAGUGUUUUCCUGGUGUGGAUAAUAGCCCAUUGUGGAUUUCCAGUCACCUAGGAUAUCUUCUCAGGUAUUAGUGCCCAUUUGCAGUAAAUAAGUAAAUAAUGGAGUAAAAUGUGAGGGCAGGGAAGUAUUCAAGAAUUUCAUAUUUGAGAUUUGCAGUGGGACUAUAGGUAAAGGAAUUUAACUUAGAAGUUAUAUGUCAGAAAAGAAGGCAGGAGGUCUGUUGGAUAAUGAUAACUAAUAUCUAUUGAGAGCUUACUCUGAUCCAAGUGUGGAUCAGAUCUUUAGUUCUAAGAGGUCUGAAUACGUCUUCCCAUCUAAUCCCCUUGACAGGUUUAAUAGGUUCAGGACUAUUCUCUUUGUUCCACAGAUGAAGAAUAGGAAGCUCACAGAAUUGGCUCAAGUGAUUUCCCCCAAACAGGAAAGCUAAGGAGCAACAUACCGGUUCUCAAUCCAGGCAGACCACCCUAAUUUAUGCACAGCUAAGCACAGCUGCCUUUGAGUUAUAUGUGUGAGCCCUUUGAUAGGCAAAGUGCAACGAAUACAAGCUGACUUCAGAAAUAAGAACUCACCUAAGAAAUGAGAUCCAGGGAAGAAUUAAAAGUUUUGCUCCCUGAUUCAGAGGGAAAUCUACUUUGGGGAGUACACUUUGUACUCAGAAGUGGAGGUGAAGAAAGGGAGGGGAGGCAUGUUCAGUAGAGAAGUAAGGUCCAACUGGGCAAGGCAGUGAUGCAACAGAGAGUAGGACAUCAAGAGGAAAGAAUAAGAAAGGAGAAGAGAGUUUCAAAUAGUUUGUGUAUGCAGAAUAACCACUUAAUAGGAGGAAUAUUUGGAAGACUUUUCCCUGCCUCACCAGUACACAGCAACGUACAAGCAACAUUUAUUAGCAUGCAUGCAUAAGAGGCACCCAGUUAAAUGCUGAUGAUGUCUCAAGGUCUAGUUGGGAAGACAGGCAUCAAUCAAGGUCUAAAAUAAUCACCUAGACUGUAAAAUUUGUAGUGCGGAAUGCGUCAAAGAGAGAAUCCACCACGCUAAGAGCACUCUAAUAGGGAAAGUUGUCCUCUUAGCAGGGUAAGAGACUGUUUCCCUUAGGAAGUAGUCUCUAACUUCUACCCAGAGAGUUAAUUAAGCAGAGAUGUGUCCACAGGAAUUUACAUUAGAUAAUUUAUAUUGCAAAGAUUCUAUCAAGGGAAACAAAAUGCAUUUUAACAUUAAAUAUGUAUGAGCAAUGGGAGGCAAAUAACUCCCCAGCAAUUUCUGAAGAACAUAAAAUGUCACUUUGAGUAAUUCAGAUAAAAUUCUCUCUUUCACUCAUUUUAUUUGCCCCUAUAAUUAUUGGCAUAUUAGCAGGCUGUUCAUCUAUGUAAGUUCUUGUCCAAAGUGGCUAUAUAUGCAGAUUAUUUGGUGAGUUUGAUUAUGGUAGAUUGCAUAUUUUCCCCCAAGAGAUUCGUUGGUGUUAGUGUCGGGGAGAAGCCCUGGCAUCUGCAUUGAUACAAUGGAUCUCAGAAGGCUUUGAGGAAGGGGAUGACAGUAUAACCCUAGCUUAUACAAUUGUUUCUAUAUUAGCAUAGGUGCAUUUUCUCUACUAUGUUUAUUUCAGCAUCUCAGCAUUAUAAUAUAGAUUUCCUGUUCAAUUGAUUAAUAUUAGUAUAUUCAUGAUAUAAAUUAUGAUAUACAGUCCAUUUAACCAAAAGUGGUAUUAACGUUUUCUACAUGAUUUUCCUGUUUCAGGUAAGCUUAAUUAAUUGGCAUUUCCAAGCAAAACAUCUCUUGAUCAAUUUCGAUGUGCUAGCAGAGAAAGAUGAAUGAAUCUAUCAAAAGCCUUAUUAUAGCUAUUUUUUAUGCUGUCACAAUACAGAAGGAUCAGAACAAGUGGACAGAGAACUGAGUGCAUAACACA